rnacentral:siRNA from 1 species
GACGCUACCCUUCCUGAGCUAAGUCAUGGAAGGGCUUGAGUGUAGCAGCUAGCGCAAUUUAGUGCGAGACUCUGACUCAUGUUGGGUAGUGGAGUGGGUAAGGAUGAUGAGUGCUUCUAUCAAGCAUCUCUCAUUGGCCCAACCACGUAGGCCUAAGAUAAAGCCCAUGGACCAUGGCAUGGGGGCUUCACACCUUGGUGUAAGCCCUUGUAGUUUUGUCUAUCACUCCUGAGCUA